rnacentral:rRNA from 1 species
UAUCUUAGUGGCGGACGGGUGAGUAACGCGUGGGUAACCUGCCCCAUACCGGGGGAUACCACCUGGAAACAGGUGCUAAUACCGCAUAAGCGCACGGGAGCGCAUGCUCCUGUGUGAAAAACUCCGGUGGUACAGGAUGGACCCGCGUCUGAUUAGCUGGUUGGCGGGGUAACGGCCCACCAAGGCGACGAUCAGUAGCCGGCCUGAGAGGGUGAACGGCCACAUUGGGACUGAGACACGGCCCAAACUCCUACGGAAGGCAGCAG